AAUUGCCAUCAUUAAGUUGGGCACUUUAAAGAGACUGCCGGUGUUAAACCGGAGGAAGUGGGGAUGACGUCAAGUCCUCAUGGCCUUUAUGUCCAGGGCUACACACGUGCUACAAUGGGUGGUACAAAGAGCAGCGACCUCGCGAGUGGAAGCAAAUCUCAAAAAGCCAUCCUAAGUUCGGAUUGGAGUCUGCAACUCGACUCCAUGAAGUCGGAAUCGCUAGUAAUCGCGGAUCAGCACGCCGCGGUGAAUACGUUCCCGGGCCUU
rnacentral:rRNA from 1 species